CUCCGGUUGAUCCCGCCGGACCCGACUGCUAUCAGAGUGGGACUAAGCCAUGCGAGUCAACGCAGCAAUGCGUGGCAUACGGCUCAGUAACACGUAGUCAACAUGCCCAGGGGACGUGGAUAACCUCGGGAAACUGAGGAUAAACCGCGAUAGGCCAAGAUUUCUGGAAUGGAUAAUGGCUGAAAUCUAUAUGGCCCCUGGAUUGGACUGCGGCCGAUCAGGCUGUUGGUGAGGUAAUGGCCCACCAAACCUGUAACCGGUACGGGCUCUGAGAGGAGGAGCCCGGAGAUGGGCACUGAGACAAGGGCCCAGGCCCUAUGGGGCGCAGCAGGCGCGAAACCUCUGCAAUAGGCGAAAGCUUGACAGGGUUACUCUGAGUGAUGUCCGUUAAGGGCAUCUUUUGGCACUUCUAAAAAUAGUGUAGAAUAAGGGGUGGGCAAGUCUGGUGUCAGCCGCCGCGGUAAUACCAGCACCCCGAGUGGUCGGGACGAUUAUUGGGCCUAAAGCAUCCGUAGCCGGUUCUGCAAGUCUUCCGUUAAAUCCACCUGCUCAACAGAUGGGCUGCGGAGGAUACUACAGGGCUAGGAGGCGGGAGAGGCAAGCGGUACUCAGUGGGUAGGGGUAAAAUCCUCUGAUCCACUGAAGACCACCAGUGGCGAAGGCGGCUUGCCAGAACGCGCUCGACGGUGAGGGAUGAAAGCUGGGGGAGCAAACCGGAUUAGAUACCCGGGUAGUCCCAGCUGUAAACGAUGCAGACUCGGUGAUGGGUUGGCUUCGAGCCAACCCAGUGCCGCAGGGAAGCCGUUAAGUCUGCCGCCUGGGGAGUACGGUCGCAAGACUGAAACUUAAAGGAAUUGGCGGGGGAGCA
rnacentral:rRNA from 1 species